AUUGAACGCUGGCGGUAUGCUUAACACAUGCAAGUCGAACGGUAGCAGGCCUUCGGGCGCUGACGAGUGGCGGACGGGUGAGUAACGCGUAGGAAUCUGCCUGGUAGUGGGGGACAACUUGGGGAAACUCAAGCUAAUACCGCAUACGCCCUACGGGGGAAAGCGGGGGAUCUUCGGACCUCGCGCUAUCAGAUGAGCCUGCGUUAGAUUAGCUAGUUGGUGGGGUAAAAGCCUACCAAGGCGACGAUCUAUAGCUGGUCUGAGAGGACGAUCAGCCACACUGGGACUGAGACACGGCCCAGACUCAUACGGGAGGCAGCAGUGGGGAAUAUUGGACAAUGGGCGAAAGCCUGAUCCAGCAAUACCGCGUGUGUGAAGAAGGCCUGAGGGUUGUAAAGCACUUUCAAUUGGGAGGAAAACCUACCGGUCAAUACCCGGUAGCUUGACAUUACCUUUAGAAGAAGCACCGGCUAACUCCGUGCCAGCCGCCGCGGUAAGAC
rnacentral:rRNA from 1 species